GAUCAUGGCUCAGAUUGAACGCCGGCGGCAGGCUUAACACAUGCAAGUCGAACGGUAACAUAAAGAAGCUUGCUUCUUUGAUGACGAGUGGCGGACGGGUGAGUAAUGCUUGGGAAUCUAGCUUAUGGAGGGGGAUAACUACGGGAAACUGUAGCUAAUACCGCGUAGAAUCGGAAGAUGAAAGUGUGGGACCUUCGGGCCACAUGCCAUAGGAUGAGCCCCAAAGUGGGAUUAGGUAGUUGGUGAGG
rnacentral:rRNA from 1 species